AGAGGCCGAGAGGGGGCAGCAGGCGAUGGCGGCGGCGGCAGCUGCGGCGGGUCGGUUAGGCUGGUUGUUCGCCGCGCUCUGCCUGGGCAACGCCGCGGGGGAGGCCGCGCCGGGCCCGCGAGUGCUGGGCUUCUGCCUGGAGGAGGAUGGAGCGGCGGGCGCGGGGUGGGUACGCGGAGGUGCGGCGCGGGACACGCCGGACGCCACCUUCCUCCUGCGCCUCUUCGGCCCGGGCUUCGCCAACAGCUCUUGGUCCUGGGUGGCCCCGGAGGGGGCGGGCUGCCGGGAGGAGGCGGCGGCCCCCGCGGGCGAGUGGCGCGCGCUGCUGCGCUUGCGCCUGCGGGCAGAGGCCGUGCGCCCGCACUCGGCGCUGCUGGCGGUGCGCGUGGAGCCGGGUGGCGGGGCGGCCGAGGAGGCGGCGCCGCCCUGGGCUCUGGGCCUGGGGGCGGCCGGGCUGCUGGCGCUGGCAGCGCUGGCGCGGGGCCUGCAGCUGAGCGCGCUGGCGCUGGCGCCUGCCGAGGUGCAGGUGCUGCGCGAGAGCGGCUCGGAGGCGGAGCGUGCGGCGGCGCGGCGUUUGGAGCCGGCGCGGCGCUGGGCCGGCUGCGCCUUAGGCGCACUGUUGCUGCUGGCCAGCCUGGCGCAGGCGGCGCUGGCGGUGCUGCUGUACCGCGCGGCCGGCCAGCGUGCGGUGCCCGCCGUGUUGGGCAGCGCGGGGCUCGUGUUCCUGGUGGGAGAGGUGGUGCCGGCCGCCGUGAGCGGGCGCUGGACGCUGGCGCUGGCGCCGCGCGCGCUCGGCCUCAGCCGCCUGGCCGUCCUGCUCACUCUGCCCGUGGCGCUGCCCGUGGGGCAGCUGCUGGAGCUGGCGGCGCGGCCCGGGCGGCUGCGGGAGCGGGUGCUGGAGCUGGCGCGCGGCGGCGGCGACCCCUACAGCGAUCUCAGCAAGGGCGUGCUGCGCUGCCGGACGGUGGAGGACGUGCUCACGCCCCUCGAAGACUGCUUCAUGCUGGACGCCAGCACCGUGCUGGACUUCGGCGUCCUGGCCAGCAUCAUGCAGAGCGGCCACACGCGCAUCCCCGUGUACGAGGAGGAGCGCUCCAACAUCGUGGACAUGCUCUACCUCAAGGACUUGGCCUUCGUGGAUCCCGAAGACUGCACGCCGCUCAGCACCAUCACUCGUUUCUACAACCAUCCGCUCCACUUCGUCUUCAACGACACCAAGCUAGACGCUGUCCUGGAGGAGUUCAAGCGAGGGAAGUCCCACCUGGCCAUCGUGCAGAAGGUGAACAACGAGGGUGAGGGCGACCCCUUCUACAAGGUCCUGGGGCUGGUCACCCUGGAGGACGUGAUCGAGGAGAUCAUCAGGUCCGAGAUCCUGGACGAGUCUGAAGACUACCGAGACACCGUGGUGAAGAGGAAGCCUGCUUCUCUGAUGGCCCCUCUGAAGCAGAAGGAGGAGUUCUCCUUGUUCAAGGUGUCUGAUGAUGAAUAUAAAGUAAAAAUCUCGCCUCAGCUGCUCUUGGCCACCCAGCGCUUCCUGUCCCGAGGCCCCAGUGGACGCUGUCCCUUUCUUCCACCACGGGCAGAAGUGGAUGUAUUCAGCCCACUGCGCAUCUCUGAGAAGGUCCUGCUGCACCUGCUGAAGCAUCCCAGCGUCAACCAGGAAGUGAGGUUUGACGAGAGCAACCGCCUGGCCACACACCACUACCUGUACCAGCGCAGCCAGCCGGUGGAUUACUUCAUUCUCAUCCUACAGGGCAGGGUUGAAGUGGAGAUCGGGAAAGAGGGUCUGAAGUUCGAGAACGGGGCCUUCACGUACUAUGGAGUGUCGGCCCUAACUGUGCCAUCCUCGGUUCACCAGUCCCCGGUGUCCUCGCUCCAGCCCAUCCGCCAUGACCUGCAGCCUGACCCAGGUGAUGGCACGCGUUCAUCUGCGUAUUGUCCCGACUACACCGUGAGGGCGCUCUCUGACCUGCAGCUCAUCAAGGUUACGCGGCUGCAGUACCUCAACGCACUCCUGGCUACCCGAGCCCAGAACCUGCCACAGUCCCCUGAGAACACCGACCUGCAGGUUAUUCCAGGCAGCCAGACCAGGCUCCUUGGUGAGAAGACCACCACAGCGGCAGCCUUCCCAGUAGACCUUUCCCUCUUUGGCACAGUUGGAAACUGCAGUUGAUAAAUGACUGUGGACUAGUGCGCAUUUUUUGUUUUCAGAGCACACCCAAGGGUCCAGCCACAGCAGGCCCGGCGUCCAAGUGGAAGGCAGCCCUGGGCGGAACCCAGGCGUUUAACUGCUCACUAGGCAGCCCCAGAUCUGGGGAACAGAUGAGCACGUGGGGAGCUGGAGUGAGCUGAGCAGAAGCUUCGUGCCCGCCUGCCCCCAUCCACUCCAGGCCACGUUUUAGAUGGCCCUUGUAGAUGUGGGUCCUGGGUGUCCUCAGAACUAGACAUCAAUGCCUGGAUCCUUCAGCCGGCCCUGCCCUCCUUUAGGAGACAGGAGUCACCAGGGCACAGCCCUCCAGGCCCGCGUCAGGAAGGAACAAAAAGAAUACCAUCAUCUCUAGUCCCCAGGGCCCAGCCUUCCCCUUCUCCCCCGAGGCAGGGACAGCGCGGCAUAUUCAGAUUCAGACCUCUUUGGGCCGAGCCACCUUGUGAGUGCAGUUACUGCCUUUGUGUGGCCGUGAUACUGUAUUUGUUUGCUUUUAAUUUGCCAACCUAUCGCUGCUGGCAGCACUUUUUGAGCAAGCCGAGAGCGCCCAUUUUGGCUGGGGGUUCAAAUCGAUGGCCUUGUCCAUGGUGUCCUUUCUGGCUUCCCUGAUGGUGUCAUGUUUCAAAGCAUGCGCCCAGCCUUUCCCAUGUGCCAAACUAGAAGCUCCACUGCCCGUAGGCUGUCCCUGUAGCCCUGCUCCCUCCCUGGAGGCUGCUCUUCGGAUUCUGAGAGCUGGCCUAGUGGUGCUGAGGGCCCCUUUCUGCUUCUCUGCCCACCUGCUGAGUUGCCACUUGCAGCGUUGUCAGUUCCUGUGUUCUGAGAAGAGGUCAUGCCUGGGAGGAAGGGAUCGUCAUGCUGCAUCGAAUCCUCUCUCUGCUGUGUGGCCCCCGGGAGAGUAGCUGCCUGUUGCACCUGCUCCACACCUCCCCACAGCUUCCCUGCAGGUGCUGUGUGGCCAUGAUGUGCAGAGAGCAGUGAGGGAGGGUUUAUGAACCAGGUGGAUCCUCUUUAAAAAAAAAAAUCCAUUUUUGUUAUAUCUCUAGAACAUUUCAAGUCUUUUCCUUUUUUUCUGUUCCUAGCUAUGGGAUUUUAGAGAAGUGGGAACAGGAAGGCAUUUGUCUUUUUCUUUUAAUUUACUACAUUUUCCUUCCGUAGUUCUUCAGCUGUGUGGAAACUGGGGCAUCACAAGGACAUAGGAUCAUAGAUUGGGUAGGGAGGGAGGAGGAUUUCUGGAACUUUUCUCAAAGGAAUUUGGACCCUUAUAAAUGGGAAUGAAGGUCAGAACAACAGUGGUAUCCUUGCUUAGAAAUUGUCCUCAAGGAAUAAACUCUGAGAGCAAGCCCAGGUCGGAAACAGAUGCUUUAAAAUCCUCUCUCCAAAACAGUGGUUUUUUUCUAUAUUUGAGAUGGAGUCUCACUCUGUCACCCAGGCUGGAGUGCAGUGGUGCGAUCUUGGCUCACUGCAACCUCCACCUCCCAGGUUCAAGCCAUUCUCCUGUCUCAGCCCCCUGAGUAGCUGGGAUUACAGGUGCCCACCACCACACCCAGCUAAUUUUUGUAUUUUUAAUAGAAAUGGGGUUUCACCAUGUUGGCCAGGCUGAUCUUGAACUCCUGACCUCAGGUGAUCUGCCCGCCUUGGCCUCCCAAAGUGCUGGGAUUACAGAUGUGAGCUAAGAAUAGGGAUUCUUUUUUUUUUUUUUUUUGAGACGGAGUCUUGCUCUGUUGCCCAGGCUGGAGUGCAGUGGCGCAAUCUCGGCUCACUGCAAGCUCCGCCUCCCGGGUUCACGCCAUUCUCCUGCCUCAGCCUCCCGUGUAGCUGGGAAUACAGGCACCCGCCACCAUGCCCGGAUAAUUUUUUGUAUUUUUAGUAGAGACGGGGUUUCACCGUGUUAGCCAGGAUGGUCUCGAUCUCCUGACCUCGUGAUCCGCCCACCUCGGCCUCCCAAAGUGCUAGGAUUACAGGCGUGAGCCACUGCGCCCGGCAGAACAGGGAUUCUUAACCUUGGCUGCACAUCAGAAUCACCUGGCAAAUUAAAAAUACGUGGACCCGCCGCCAGAGCUUGUGAUUUAAUCAGAGUCGGCAUCAGAGUUUUCAAUUUUUUAUUUAUUAUUUUUUUGAGACAAGAUCUUGCUCUGUCGCCCAGACUGGAGUGCAGUGGUGUGAUCACGGCUUGCAGCAGCCUCGACCUCCCUGGUUCAGGCCAUCCUGCCACCUCAACCUCCUGAGUAGUUGGGACUACAGGUAGGCACCACCACACCCAGCUAAUUCUUUUAAUUUUUUGUAGAGAUAGGGUCUCAUUAUGUUGCCUGGGCUAGUCUCGAACUCCUAGGCUCAAGCAGUCCUCCUGCCUCAGCCUCCCAAAGUGUUGAGAUUACAGGCGUGAGCCACCAUGCCCAGAUUCACAGAAGUGUUUCAUACACCUUUCAUCCAGGUUCCCCUAAUGUUAACAUCUUACAUACAGCCUUGGUACAUUUAUCAAAACUAAAGGUGCAGUCAUACUAUUAGCUAGAGUUUAUUUGGAUUUUACCAUUUUUCUCAAUGUCCCUUUUUUGCUGCAGCAGCAAAUCCAGGAUGCCAUACUGCACUUAGAGCUGUUGCUUUCUUUUUUCCUAACUUUAUAUUUUGAAAUAAUUUCAGAUUAUAGGAAGUUGUAAAGGUAAGGGCCCCACGCACCCUUCAUCUAGUUUCCCUCCAUGGUUACAUCUUAUAUGAUUGUAAUGCAGUAUUCCAACAAAGACUUUGACACUGGUGCAAUGUGGGUGGACAGUCCAAAUCAUUUGUCACAUGUACAUCUGUGUAACUACCACUGCAAUCACGAUAAAGAAGUCCCAUCCCCGCAAGGAUCUCCCUCCACACCAUCCCUACCUCCUGGUAACCACUAAUCGUUCAUCUCUUAUUUUGUCAUUUCAAGAAUGUCGUAUAAACGGGAGCAUAGUGUGUAAGCAUUCGGGAUUGUCUUUUUUCACUCAGUGUCAUUCUCGGGAGAUCAUCCAGGCUUUGCAUGUGUCAACAGUUUGCUCCUUUUUAUUGCUGAGUGGUAUUCCAUGGUGUAUGCAUUGGCCCCCCGAAGGCCACCUGGGAUGUUUCCAGUUUGGGGCUAUUCCAAAUAAAGCUGCUACGACUAUUCACGUA